AAUUAAAUACAUCAAUGCUAAGCAUUCUUCCCUUGACAAGGGAAAAAAAGAUAUAAGCAUGAAAAUUGUGACCGGAGCCUCAACCUCAGAUACAUAUAUUCAAAUACCAAACGAAGAAAAAAACAGGUUUCAACAUGAUCUCCACUAACAUUACAAGUUUAGUUCACAUUCAUACAUUCCCAGGGAAUGUGAGUUUAUAAAAGCCAACAAGAACAUUAAUAUUUAUACUUGCCAGCCAACAAAGAACACAUUUUGUUUGCAAGGGACAAGCUCAGUUCCAGUGAAAUAGAGCAAGAGUGACAUUUUCCAAUGAAUUUAAGGGCAGAAGUUCAGGCAGGAAGAUACAAGGAUGGAGAAAUUUCACCAACUUCUUAAUUAUUGGCAUGACGGCCAAGAACCAUUAAAGUCUUAAAAG